UGCAAAAUCUUUAUUUGUUCAUCACAGAUACAAAUGAGUUUUACUGAAUUACAUGAAAUAUUGAAUGCUAGAAGACUAUUUCCUCAAUUUUUGUGUUAUCCCUAUGUAAUAGCUAAUGACAGUGCACUUUUAGUUUAAUUUACACUUUAUACUUUUCCUGUCAGUAGACACAAUCAAUAGAAUCAAGCUCUAACUUGUAACAUUUACCAAUUUACUAUUUUAUAAAUUUGUAAAUUUUCACAAUGGCCUAUUUUAACCUACUAAUAUGAUAUUACUGAACAUUGUACACUGGAAGAGAGCUGUAUUUUCACCUUAUAUAUACAAUAAAGUUAUUUCAAUUGUACUGAUUAUAUUAAACUUAGUAAUAUAAUUAGGAAAUUUAGAAUUUCUGAGUAUGUAUUAUCUUUAUUUUUUAAAUAUACACUUAAAUGUAUAUUUAAGUGUAAAUUUAGACAUAUAUUUUAAAAUAAUGGCUAUGCUAAUAAAUUUAACAAUUUUAAAAAUCCCCUAAAUUUAAUAAUUUUCAUACUAGACGUCUUUUUAGAGUUACAGUUUCUAGACUUUACAGUAGUUACUUUUGAGUAGCAAAUGAGAUAAAUUAAAAAGAAAAUUAUAAUUUAAUUUCAAUGAAAAGGAAAAGUCCAUUUGGUACCAGUAAAUUAAUGAUGGUACUUAAUCUCUUUUCAUAUCAGUUUCCUUAUAUGUAAAAUAAAAUUUAUAAAGUUAUACUCUUUAUGAGAAUACUUGCAGAAUUAAAUCAGGAUCAUGAAAUUUUUUAACAUAGUUCAUUGAUAUAAACAUCGAACUGUCUAUCAUUAUCAUUACUGUAAUUAUAACCAAUUACUUUAGGUCCUGCAGUUAAGGACAUUAGCUCCUAAGGUAGUGCCUACUCUUUUGCUCAUAGUGUGAGAAAUACAAGUUUGGCCCAUUAACUUGUCUGUGCAAAGUAGUAUCCUUUUAAUAGAUUCACUCAUAAGGCUUCUGUGACAUGCUGUUUUCUGGCUGAAACUUAAUUUGCAGUUGUGAAACUCCAGCCAACUUCUAAUCCUUAGUUCUCUGAACCCUUCAUACAUUUAGGUAAUUCCUAGUACCUUCAAAAUGUUUCUUUGCAUGUAUUAUCUAUUGCCCAAUUAUUUACUCGCAAUAAUUCCCCUGGGAAAUCCUGUCAUUGGAUUAAGGAGUUUAUGUGUUAUAGACAGAUUCAUUACUGAUGGACAAGCAAAUAAACAUGUAAAUAAUCUACUCAUUUUUUAAAUGCAAAUCAGCUGUAAGUUUCAUUUAUCCCUCUGCCUAGGAGCAUUGUGUUAGGUAAGAUUGGAGUUAGGCUGAUUGAUUCAACAUGGAGAGUUAUUCAAACAUGGAGCCUGCCCUUCAAUAGUGUUUCAAUCACAGGUUGAAAUUAUUCAUAAGGAAAGCAUUCAUUGAGUGUCCUUUUUCUCCAAAUUCAAGUUAAAACUGGAUAAAGUAACUUUAUACAUAUACAAUUUUAUAAACUGUAAAUUUAAAUAGAAGUGUUUACAAGGUAUUAUUUCUAAAAAAAAUCAAAAUAGUUCUUUAAUAAAUUAGCCUAAAUAUAAAUGUUUUUAAAAUACAGUCAGUAUUAAAUCAUUACAUGAUAUUUUAUUAUAUGGAUUGAGAUUUACAGUUGUAGAUUUUGUAAUAGAAUCUUCCUCACUUUUUAAACUUCAUACUCAGGUAAUCUUAGGUUCCUCUGGGUGAAAUUAUAGUCUUUAAAUAUCCUCAUUCUGGUCAUGAUACUGAUUCACUAAAUAAAAGGGUUUAUUAGUUUCAAGGUCCAUUUCUGAAUCUUUAAUUCACUUUGUCAGUGGACUUAAAGCAUUUUUUAAAUAAAUUAUUCUUCCCAAACUGAAGUGUUACUACAUGUGGAAUGUAUUAGAGCAACAGUCAACGUAAGCAGAUAAGAAACUUUAGAUAAUAUGACAAGGGUUAAAACUUGAAAUAAUUGUUCCACAGUCAUAAUUUUGAUACAUGCAGGGGCUAGGAUCUUGAAGUAAUCAUUUUGAAUCAAUACAUUUUUAUUUUUUUACUUAAAAUGUACAUAUCAGAAUUAUAAAAUAUACUAAAUAAAAUGAUAAAAAUUUAUAUAAUAUAAACUAAGUUAAAUAAGAUGUGCUUGGCACAAGAAUUGCAUAGAUUCUAAGAGAUAUGAUUAAGAUUUUUUGAUAAAUAAGGUAAGAGGAAGCUUGAUGUUAUAAAGAGAAAAGAGAUAAAAAGUACAAAUAUCGAUUCACAUAUUUCCUUUAAAAAUCUUAGCACAUAAAAUGUAACAAUGAAAUCUCAAACCUUAGAAAUGAAUUCUGGUCUAAUGGGGACAAUGUUGACAUUUGUGUAACAUACAGCUAAUGUUGGCAGGUCAAAAAAUUGUGAAAUGUACUGAUGAGAUCUAGUAUAAAAUUACUGUGAAUAGAGCUAAUGACAGAUUUUUGGUAUGUUAAGAAAAGAAAUUAAAUUUCCCACUGCUUUCACUGAGAGUAAAUCCACAUAUCUAGACUUGGGCAUUUUAGUAUAUUCAUUUUUUUUUUCAAAAUGUUCACUGUCCCUCUCCUCCUCUUUGGAAAGGUUAUUUUAACAGUUAGGUUGAUCAUGCAUGUUUUGUAGUCAAUGGAGCAUUAACAGAUAUGAGGUGAGCAGAGACUUAAAAUGUGCUUGUGCUAUUUGGCUUGUCUUUUGCAACUCUGCUAUAUCCAUGAGAAAGUAACUGUUUCUCAGAUAGUCAUUACCCUUCAAUCUGAAACCUACAAUAAACACAUCCUGAGCAGAUCCGAAUGAAACUUAUAGCUAAAUAUGCAGCUAGAAGCAGAGUCUCCCAACCAAACCUAGCCUGUAUCGGUAGUUACUCCAGCCAUUAUACAACUGUGUGACAUAGAAUAAGUUAUUGUUCCUUUAAGUAACUGAGUUUGUAUAGUUUGUUAUGCAGUAUUUUACCCAAUAAUAUAUGUUAGUCAGAAAAAGGACAUGUUACUGUAAUAAAAACCUCAAAUAUGUGGCAGUGGAAUUUGAUAACAGGUGGAGAGUGAGAAGGUUGUUAAGCAACCUAUCUUUAUCUGAAUUAUUACUUAGAGAAAAGAAAAAUAGUGUAAGAGUUUAUUAUCCAACUGUAUUAAGAAAUCUUUGAAGGGUUAUGCAAGAGGGACAAUUGAAAACAUAAGGUUAUUGUUAAACUUACACAUAAGGAUGACACUAAAAUAUGUAAUAACUGGAAAAGAAUGGGGAUACAGCCUACAUGGGUACAACAAAUCCAAAUGGAUUUUGGCUAUGAACAACUGCUAUGGCUAUAAUGGUUAAAAUCAAAUUUAACACAUAUUUCAAUUCCAUAUUGCUUAUCACUCCACAGAUUAGACAAAUUCUGCUGUGUUGAUCAAAACAAAAGACAACAGGAGCCCCCACCUUCCCACAGACACAGCAGGAGCCUUAACCAGCUGUACUAGCUGUAGCAGGCCUGUUGCCUGUGGAUCCAGAAGCAGCCCCACCCACUCACAGACCCUGAAACCAACCCUGUCCAACCAUAGAUACACUCCCAGCCUCACCUUCUCCCUACCUGUCUAUGAACCAGCAGCCUGGUCCACAUAUGGAUCCCUGACAGCAGACCUAUCCAUCCGCAGAUCCUGGCAGUAGGCCCACACUUGCAGUAGGACUUCCUACAAAUAAUUCCACUAGGCUUACCCAUAGAUACCGCCAGUCAACCCCCAGAAUCUCUGAUAAGGCUGACUGAUUAAGGUCUUUCCUUAGCAAAACUAGUUGGUGAAGCCUGGAAAACAUGACUGCCUAUUCAAAUGCACAGAUGUCAAUGCAAAGGCAUGUGAAUCAUGAAGAAUCAGAAAGCAUGACACCACCGAGGAAACCUAAUAAAGCUCCAGUAACUGAUGUUAAACAAAUGGAGAUUCACAAACUGAUUGUUAUAGAAUUCAAAAAUAACCAUCUAGAAAAAAGCUUAAUGAGGAACAAAACACAGAUACAAAAUGAAAUCAGGAAAACUAUGCAUGAACAAAAUGAGAAGUGUGACAAAGAAAUACAAACAAUAAUGAUUAACCAAAUAGAAAUCAAACAGAAAUCCUG
rnacentral:lncRNA from 1 species